AGAGUUUGAUCCUGGCUCAGGAUGAACGCUAGCGGGAGGCUUAACACAUGCAAGUCGAGGGGCAUCACAAGGUAGCAAUACUUUGGUGGCGACCGGCGCACGGGUGAGUAACGCGUAUGCAACCUACCCUGUACAGGGGGAUAGCCCGGAGAAAUUCGGAUUAAUACCCCAUAAAGAUAUUGAGAGGCAUCUUUUGAUAUUUAAAGAUUUAUCGGUACGGGAUGGGCAUGCGUAACAUUAGCUAGUUGGUGGGGUAACGGCCCACCAAGACGACGAUCAGUAGGGGUUCUGAGAGGAUUACCCCCCACACUGGUACUGAGACACGGACCAGACUCCUACGGGAGGCAGCAGUGAGGAAUAUUGGUCAAUGGCCGGAAGGCUGAACCAGCCAUCCCGCGUGCAGGAUGACGGCCCUAUGGGUUGUAAACUGCUUUUGUACCUGAAGAAUAGGCCCAACGAGUUGGGAUUUGCCGGUAAGGUAUGAAUAAGCAUCGGCUAACUCCGUGCCAGCAGCCGCGGUAAUACGGAGGAUGCAAGCGUUAUCCGGAUUCAUUGGGUUUAAAGGGUGCGCAGGUGGGAAAAUAAGUCAGUGGUGAAAUACUGCCGCUUAACGGUAGAAUUGCCAUUGAUACUGUUUUUCUUGAGUAUGGUUGAGGUAGGUGGAAUGUGUCAUGUAGCGGUGAAAUGCUUAGAGAUGACACAGAACACCGACGGCGAAGGCAGCUUACUAAGCCAUUACUGACGCUGAGGCACGAAAGCGUGGGGAUCGAACAGGAUUAGAUACCCUGGUAGUCCACGCCGUAAACGAUGAGUGCUAGGUGUCGGGGGUAUCGACCCCCUCGGUGCGCGAAAGCAUUAAGUGAUCCACCUGGGGAGUACGAUCGCAAGGUUGAAACUCAAAGGAAUUGACGGGGGCCCGCACAAGCGGAGGAACAUGUGGUUUAAUUCGAUGAUACGCGAGGAACCUUACCUGGGCUUAAAUGUAGGCUGCAUUCGGCUAAGGGAGUUUCCCUUCGGGGCUGCUUACAAGGUGCUGCAUGGUUGUCGUCAGCUCGUGCCGUGAGGUGUCGGGUUAAGUCCCAUAACGAGCGCAACCCUUAUCGUUAGUUGCCAGCGGGUCAAGCCGGGGACUCUAGCGAGACUGCCACCGUAAGUAGUGAGGAAGGUGGGGAUGACGUCAAAUCAGCACGGCCCUUAUGUCCAGGGCGACACACGUGCUACAAUGGCCGAUACAAAGGGCAGCUACCAGGUGACUGGAUGCGAAUCUUUAAAAUCGGUCUCAGUUCGGAUCGGAGUCUGCAACUCGACUCCGUGAAGUCGGAUUCGCUAGUAAUCGCGCAUCAGCCAUGGCGCGGUGAAUACGUUCCCGGGCCUUGUACACACCGCCCGUCAAGCCAUGGAAGUUGGGGGUGCCUAAAGUUCGUGACCGCAAGGAGCGACCUAGGGUAAACCAAUGACUGGGGCUAAGUCGUAACAAGGUAACC
rnacentral:rRNA from 1 species